UUAAACCGGGGGGAGGGGGAGAGACCAUCCCGCCGCCGCCUGCAGCGUUGUCUCCCGGCAUCAUUUCGGUGCAGGGACCCAGCUGACACUUCUUAUUUCGGGUCCUGCCUCCCCAGCAGCAGUCUGCAACUUGCCGGCAUCCAGGCAGGACGGCGGCCACAGAGCAGAGGAGAGAGUCCCAGCAACCUGGUCAACUGCAGAGGCUACCACGGUGCCGUCGGCUUCUCCUCUUUACCCUUGCUGGAGUCUGAGUCUCUGAUUCCCGCCCGCCUGGCUUCUCCAAGCUCCCCGUCCCCCAUCUCCUUGCCCACCCACCCUCUGCAAAGGACCCCGGUAAGUGAGCUGAUGUCUGUGACACUUGGGGUUUGAAGGAGAAUUUGGACACUGCAGCUUUAAGAAUGCCGUACUGCGAAAUCUUUCUCCUUCAAGUGACUGCAGAACCGCAGCAGCAGCAUGGGGAGGAGGCAGGAGGAGGAGGAGUAUGUGGAGGAGGAGGAGGAGGAGGAGAGAGGAAGGGAUACUCACUCCCGGGGUCAGCCCGUUGGGUACCUCGGACUGGGGAGCGCUCAGCCCCAGGCAAUAUCCAAACGCAAUCAGGACCUUACUUUGGGUUGGUUUCCCUCUCCCACAUGCUUGGGGCGGGGGACUCCACAGACUUACUGAGGAGUUUAAGCUUGGUCCUUGCCUUGGUGCGUGCGUUGUCUGGUUACUGGCUCUUUUCAGCCCUGUGGAAUUGGGCUGGAGAAUUCGGGUCUGAUCUCUACUGUGAUCUUUCCAGUCUGCCUUGAACUCUGGGAACACAGACGCAGUCUUCACUGCCUUAUUAAUUGGGGGUGGAGGUUUUCUGUUUUUUGGGUUUAAUGAGAUGAGCUUUGGAGGGAAACUCAAAACAAGGACUUGACUUGUGACUAUGGGGGCAGAGGCUGCAGCAUUUCAGAAGGGAUGAAUUUCCUCUGUGUUAGUAGUAGGUGUUGAAUGAUGGUGCCUGGGACGCCAGGCAGUUGGGGGUGUGCUCCAUAAGGGGCUCAUUCAGAUGGAGAUUGCGCAGAGGCAGCAGAAAGCCCACUUUGGGCAGCAGCUUGUUUUGGGGAAAGGCACAAACAGCCCAAGGCCCCUGAGCCCUGGUCUCUGGGACCAGACUCCCCCCCUACCUGGCAAAAGGGCUGCCCCAAAGCCAGUUGCUGCCUCAGUAGGUGCCUCCUGGAAGAGCUCCCAGUCUGGCACUGCUGGCAUGGCAUUUCCAGACAGGCCGUGCUUGGAUCCAGGUCUGCACUGGGGGUGACGUUAUGCAGGACCAACGUGGCAUCUACCCAGGUGGUCCCAGGCACUGGAAGGGCUGAGCUCCUCAAAAUUCCUUCUCAAGCAAAAAUGUGUCUUUUUACCAAAAAAAACCCACUUUCGGUCUUGCAAUAAAUCAGCUUGAAGGGUGUGCAGCAAACCCCUCAGAUAAAUUAUCCAGGCAAGGCCCCGAAACAGCAACUGGGCCGAGGCUGGCGAUGCACCGUGACCUCCUUGGGUUCCUGCACUGUGUUCUGGUCCUUGCUGUAGAGCCAGACUUGAAGGCUCAUCUGGAGAGGACCGUGCCUGUACUCCACCUGGGGCUGCUGGUUUUGAAGCUCCUUGGGGCGUGAGAGGUGCUCCAAUCAAAGCUUCCGUAGCCAUUUGGAGAAAUGCGGGCUCAUAGACAAAUAUUUUAUAGGGUCUUAGACAACACAGUUGCCUAGACUGGGAGAGCCCUACAGGAUUUAGGAGAGGCAACCCCUAUUUCCCUAAUUAGGAGUGUCUUUCUACUUGCCACUUUCGCAGUCCCCAUUCUGUCCCUCACAACCCUUUGUCUUGAUCCACCCAUUUUUUUAUACAUUCCCUGUAUAUUUAAAACCAUCUUUGACCUCUGCUCGUAAAUCUGUGGCGGGUGUUUGCAGAACCCCCUGAAUGUUAUGCGGAACUCUAAUUUUUCAGACUACCAUCCUUAGAUGUGAAAGAUUUCAUGUCCAGUGCACCCAGACAGGUCAUCAGGGUCCCACACCCUGGGGUCUUUGAGGUCAGCACCACGUGAUAUCUGUGAAUUUGUGUGCAUCAGGCAGAGCUUGACCCCCGACUCUAGGAAGCUGCUAGGAUGUGCCGUUUGGACAAACGAUGAGUCUCCCCUCAUCAGUAGGAUGGAGGUGUCAUGGCAUUGCCACCCUGGGGAGCUGGAGGACAGGGCUGGCAUGCCCAGGCACACUCAUCUCCCACUCAGUGCCUCCCUACCCAGCCCGGAUGACAAAUAAUCAUCCUUUAUAUCUGGAAUUAAUUCCUUUAUAUCUGGAAUUAGCCAAGAGAAAGACCUCUUGUCAAUGACUGCAAAGCAAAUGCUGCUGUUGGCCCCCAGCAUCCUGUCCAUGUCCACUGGUCUCUGGUCCCCUAUGGGGAGGUCAGGUGAGACAGGAACUUCACAAAUGUGCUGUGAGGGGGAGCAGGUGACCCCUGAGCCCAGCGCUGUGACGUCACUGGAGCUUGUGAAAUGAACUGCACACACUGCCAGGAUGAGCUGAACGAGAAGCUGCCACAAGCUUCCCAGCUCCUUCCCUCAGGCAGGCGCUGUCUGGACCAAAGGGACCACUCAAGACAGCCGGGGAAGAAGCAGCCAAGGUGACACAGACCCUCAGGGGUGGAUAGGCGGAGGGAGGGCCUCCGCCCCUGCAGGCCCCUGGAUGCCCUCAUCUCUCAGGCCACAGAACAGGAAAGCCAGCUUGGGAGGAGCUGGUAAGGCAAGAGCUGGCCCUGGACGGCGAGGGGCCAGCAUUUCCCAGGUCUUGCCAGGCAGAAAAUCCAACGCAUUGCUGACAACCACCACACCCUGCUAUUCCCAUGUCAGAACCACUGGGCAGUGAGGACAAGAUUUUCCCCUGGCUGUCCGCAGGUCAGAUCCCCAUGGCCUUGUGCCUGCCCCACAGUAACAUCUAGGAGGUGAUAGGUCUUUAAAAAGAAUUCUCUAUCUUUCCAUCCCCCAGAGUACUUGCUGCGGGGCACAUUAUUAUUAUCCAGUAAUUGCUGAGGGGAGAAAAUGAGGCGGGCCUGGUCCUGGCAUUAGGUGAGGGUGCGCUGGAGGGGCACGGAGCGGGGUGUACGUCUUGGUCCGAGGCUCCUGGGCACCUCGCAAUGCACCAGUGCUGACUCAGGGCUGCUCUAGCGCUCUCCUCUCGCACCCCAUCAACUGCCCCAGCCUUGGCCAGCUGAGCCCGUGCUGCCGGUUCUUCGGUCUCCUUGCGCAGGGACAGUUGGAACCCAAGCUGCUGCGGGCCCUCCCCCGCCCUCCUGGGCCAAGUCAGCAGUGCUGGCGGCUGCGGGGCUGCAGCGGCGGGCGGCGCAGGGGCCCUGCACCACUGCUCCGGGCUGCCGGCGGCGCGCUCACGUCCCGACGGCCACCUCCCGGCGGCUGCGCGCAGCCCGCGCCGAGACAGGACCCCGUCCCUGAUUGGUGCGUGAGUGAGACUCUGGCUUUGUUUAUACAACGAUUUCUUCACGACUCUACUUCACCGGAGUUGAGGGCUGGGGCAGGAGGCAGUCUUCCACGGCGCGAAGGAUGACAAACAGAGCUCUUGUACCGACUGCCUUCGGGCGGGCAUCCUUGGACGGGCCGUUUUCUCAAAUGCUUCUGUAUGGAGCACCCACCAGGUGUGGGGCGUGAUUUUUGGGAACCUCGGGAGAAGAACAAGAUGUGCAGCUCCUCGGAAGGGUUAGGAGGGUGAAGGCUUUGCGAGGAACCCAGGGAAGCUGUGUCCAGGGCCCUGGCUUUGGACUUCCUACUCUGAAUCGUGGACGCCAGUUUGGAAAGCGGGGCUGCCAUUCCAGUUGGGGGGUAAGGAAAGGAUUCCCAACUCAGGCAUCCUCUUAGGUGAGGGCAAAGGGACCCUCUGGGACCACACCCUUGAAUGCUCCCGCUCAGGAUUCCUGGGAAAGCCUAUGGAGACAGUUUGGGGUACAAAGGCGGUGGGAGAAGGUUUUGUCCCCAGUGUCAUGGAGUUAGUUGUGGAAGGUUAAGGUUGGAUCCAGAGGAAGUCCAGCUUCCCCUGCAGAGGGAAGCUGAGCCAGCAAAUGUGGGUGGGGUGCAGUAGCUGCUAACCCUCCUGAGUGAUGUGAGGGGCUUAGGUGGCAGGAGCCAGGGGCCUAGGGACAGAGAGAGCAGCCCCAGGGGGUCCAGACUGCACCUUGUGCCCUGAAUAGCAGCCUCUGGUGCAGGUCUCAAUUAUGCCAGCAGCAUGAAAAUGCUGCCCGACUUGUCCCCAGGGGCUGGUUCCUUGGCAGAAGCCCUGUCUCCCGACAAGAUGGGAAGUGAUGUCACGCUGCGCACAGGAGCCUGCUCUUCUGGGGAUGUUCACGGGUGUGACACAGUUCAGAGACUGUUGCCUCUCACUGACCUGGACCUUGGACUUCCAGAGGAAGAGCCUUGGCACUGGCGGCCGCUUCUUCCCAUCGCUCGCGCCUGUCCAGAAUGACACCAGGAGCCCUCCUGUUCAAUCUGGGACAGGCACAGCACUGCGGCUGCCAGUCUUCCUGCCAAGGACAUGGGGACAGGCCGCUCUCCGGGGGACUGCCUGCACCCUCCAGGCAGAGCCAACUGGCCAGCCAAGUCCCUGUGGCUUCUCCGGGGACUAAGACAUAAGAAAAGAUCUGACUAAGGAUCAGAACUUGUCUUUCCUUUUGUGCAUGUGAACUUUAACCCCACAAAUGCAAGAUACUUAGAAAUCAUCUGGUCCAAGGCCCAGAGUCAGAGAUGAGGAUGGUGAGGCUCACAGAUUAACUGACUUGCCCAAGGACAUGGGACGCUCAGGGCAGACCUGGGAGUCCCUGGAAAAUGUUCCGACCUGGCAUGUGGGACAAGGAUGAAAUCAUCAGCCCUGGACCCAUCAGGCGCCCCAACUCAGGUGAAGUAGGACAAGGUCCCUGGAGGCCGAAAGUGGCUGCUCUCCCAAGGUGUUCCCUCUAGGCAAGUGGAAGAGACACGGCUCCAGCAAAGAAGUCCUGGGAGUCCUGCAGCUGUCUUGGAGCAGGCCGUCUUUGUCACAGGAAGAACCACUCAAGCGUCCCUUUGACACUGGGUUCUGAGGACAGGGGAAGGCUGGAAGUGUUUGGCUGAGGAAGGGCUGUAGCCAGGUGAGCUGCGUUCCCUCCCCCAGUGAGAAGGUGACUGGAAAUUUGAAGUGGGGCCAAUGGGCCUUGGGGGAAAAGAAGGUGGAGUCCCAGACCUUGGACCGUCUCGGAUAGACUGGGAUGGCCCCGAUGUCAGCCGACAGGCGGGAGGGCACCUCAAAGGGCGAGGUGUCUGGGGAACGAAAUCAUCUGAAGCCGACCCCAGGGACUAGGAAGUCCUAGAGAAGGGGUGGACUCAGCACCCUGGCAGCAUUUGUUGGUGAUUGACAGCAGACUCUGAAGCCAGACUGCCUGGGCUCACAACCCAGCUCUGCUGCUAACUAGCAGCAUAACCUUGGGUGAGCUCUCUAACCCCUCCGUGCCUCAGUUUCUUUAUCUGUGAGACAGGGAGAAUAAAAGCCUAGGGUUACUGUGAGGAUUAAACAAGAUACUAUUGCAAGCACUUGGGCCUGAGCUUGGCCAAGAGAGACCCCUAAUCUGUGUUUGUUGAAUCGUCCAAUGUGUGGAUCGGCAAGACUCAUGUCUCCAAAGAGCUGUGACAUGGAGGGCUGUGGGUUGGCCCUGUCUGGGACAGGGGGACAUCCUCCUCCAUCACCCUGCCCAACUGCACCUGGGAAAACCAGCCGAUUGCUACCUGACCGUCCCAGAUCUCUUCUGAAGGGACUGUGGGGGUGAUAGCCACGACUGGCAUCCUUGGGGUGAGCUGCUGCUCCCAGAAUUCUUGGGCAGCUGGGAUCCUCGACCUUCCCACAGUCCUUAGGGCGGGACCUUGGGACCAUCAACGGUUUGGACAUUAAUAGGAUAUUGGCCCUAUGUUCCACUUUAAGCUGGAGAAAUGGGAGGUACCAGUCACGUGUAGUUUUGAAAGCUGCAGCAGCCAAGAGACCUGGGCAAGUCUCACUUCUCCGCGCACGCAAGGUCGGGGAGUUUUCACUUGUUCCAAUAACAAUGGAGGAGUUUCCCACGGUGCAGGCCACCUUGUCAAAUCAUGCUCCUGUGUUCUGAGGUUAACCACCCUGCCUUUGGGAUUCAGCAGAGGUCCAAAUCCCAGAUCUGUCGCUUUCAAGCUGUAGGACCUUAGACAAGGACAGGGACUGAAGCUUCUCUGAGACUCAGUUUAUCACUUGCUAAACGGGCCUAACACCGGGGGUUUCAUAGAGCUGCUGGGGAUUGAAGGAGAGCAAGUCUGCAAAACCCGUAAGUCUGUCACACGCAUAAUGAGGACUUGACAAAUGGGAGCUAAAUAAUGUAUGUAUGUAUAUGUAUUAAAUAGCUGUAGAUCGGUCCAUCCAAGUAUAGAUAACUCCUAAGAAUUGAUCUCUCUCUGUCUUCAGUUAGGAAAAAGGUUGAUUUGAUGCAUGAGCCAAAGAGUGACUUUAGGAGCUGGAAAAUAAACAGAACCUUAAAGCUAUGUUUAGUUAAAAUGUCUAGUCAGCAUAGCAAUGAGGAAAUACUUCAAAGCAAUUCUCCCCUUUGUACAGCAUUUUGACUUUUUACAUUUAUUUGUUAUUUUUAAUCCGGUGGUGAUUUCUUCACCAAGCUGGGCUUCCUUCUUCAGAGAUGGGGCCUUGAAAAUUGUGCCUGCCGACACAGGGCUUUGUCAGUGCUAGAUGGGCUCCCUGGAGCACCCCCCCACCCAUGCCACAUAAUACACACUGGCCUGUACACCAUCACCCCACGGAGUAAGUCUCUGAUGUUGGGGCCACAAUGAAGAAAGCCCCAGCCCGCAAGACCCCUUUCUUCUGCAGGGUCCGGGCCGAGGCCCUGCAGCUACAGUCCCAUCUUCAAGGGCCUAAGAGACAGGCUGCUUUGGCCUCAGGGCCCUGGCUGAAAACCACUGCAGCCAUAGGAUGCUGACCCUCCUGAGUCACCCACAACCAGGAUUCCAUCUUCUAAGUGAGGGAGGUAGCGUUGACCAAGGUGCAGGGCUUUCCGUCCUGCCGGCUUCAUGCCGAGUAUGUCUAGCCAGUAAGGAGGAAUGGGGGCUCCUUUUUGUUUGUUUGUUUUCUCCUGAGAUAUAACUCACAUGCCAUAAAUUCUACCAUUAAAAAGUGUACAAUUCAGUGGGAUUUAUUAUAUUCACGAAAUUGUGCAACCAUCACCAUGAUCUAAUCCCAGGACAUUGUUUUCCUUUUUGUCAUUCACAUUUUUGGACGCGAUCCAUCGGUAGGUUGACUGGGAAGCAGGACUCCUCGGGUCUCUGUGGUUAAAUUAAGACCUGAAUGCCUCCUGGGUGCCCUGUUUCACCGCUGGGUCUGGGGACGCAGGUGCAGCGCCCCGCGGGGGGCAGAAGU